CUACGGGUCGCAGCAGUGGGGAAUCUUAGACAAUGGGCGCAAGCCUGAUCUAGCCAUGCCGCGUGAUCGAUGAAGGCCUUAGGGUUGUAAAGAUCUUUCGUGGGGGAAGAUAAUGACGGUACCCCAAGAAGAAGCCCCGGCUAACUCCGUGCCAGCAGCCGCGGUAAUACGGAGGGGGCUAGCGUUAUUCGGAAUUACUGGGCGUAAAGCGCACGUAGGCGGAUUGGAAAGUCAGAGGUGAAAUCCCAGAGCUCAACUUUGGAACUGCCUUUGAAACUCCCAGUCUUGAGGUCGAGAGAGGUGAGUGGAAUUCCGAGUGUAGAGGUGAAAUUCGUAGAUAUUCGGAGGAACACCAGUGGCGAAGGCGGCUCACUGGCUCGAUACUGACGCUGAGGUGCGAAAGCGUGGGGAGCAAACAGGAUUAGAUACCCCUGUAGUC
rnacentral:rRNA from 1 species